UGUAAUAGCAGCUGUCAGGGAUGCCAUA
rnacentral:sRNA from 1 species